rnacentral:rRNA from 1 species
AGUGAACGCUGGCGGUAGGCCUAACACAUGCAAGUCGAACGGUAGCACAGUAAGAGCUUGCUCUUACGGGUGGCGAGUGGCGGACGGGUGAGGAAUACAUCGGAAUCUACUUUUUCGUGGGGGAUAACGUAGGGAAACUUACGCUAAUACCGCAUACGACCUACGGGUGAAAGCAGGGGAUCUUCGGACCUUGCGCGAUUGAAUGAGCCGAUGUCGGAUUAGCUAGUUGGCGGGGUAAAGGCCCACCAAGGCGACGAUCCGCAGCUGGUCUGAGAGGAUGAUCAGCCACACUGGAACUGAGACACGGUCCAGACUCCUACGGGAGGCAGCAGUGGGGAAUAUUGGACAAUGGGCGCAAGCCUGAUCCAGCCAUACCGCGUGGGUGAAGAAGGCCUUCGGGUUGUAAAGCCCUUUUGUUGGGAAAGAAAAGCAGCAGGUUAAUACCCCGCUGUUCUGACGGUACCCAAAGAAUAAGCACCGGCUAACUUCGUG